rnacentral:lncRNA from 1 species
AUGAUUUAGGGUUUAAAGUUGAUGUUUUAAGUUUAGAUUUAGGGUUUACGUUUAGGGUUUAGAUUUGAAGUUUUAGAGUUUAGGGUUUAGAGUUGAUGUUUCAAGGUUUAGGGUUUAGAGUUGAUGUUUCAUGGUUUAGGGUUUAUAGUUGAUGAUUUAGGGUUUAUAGUUGAUGUUUUAAGUUUAGAUUAGUUAACCAUAUGUUUUUUUUGUCAAAGGUAAUCAAAAGGUUAUAAAUGUAUUUUACCUUUCAUUAAAGAUGAAUGUAAAAGUGGUUAGUGUAAACAUGAAAAGUGGUAUUUUGAAAAUGAUAUUUUUGGC